rnacentral:lncRNA from 1 species
GCCAUUGUGUAUAGGUAAUCGGUAGUCACCCUGGCGCCUCAACAAAAUAUUAUAGAAUACUCUGUAGCCAAAGUAAUGCCACAAAGUAAAAAUGUAUAUUCUAGUCAUGAAAAUUUAAAUACAAGUUGGUGUAAUAAAAUGUAUUUUUAAUUCAAAGGAUUGUUUUUGUAUAAGUUGUAAAUGAAAUACAGAGGAUGGAACCUCUACACAAAUGAGUAAAAUAUACAGAAAGUCUGUACAGUAUUUGAAUUUUGGUAUUUGUGAAUUACAAUUAACAACACACAAAGAGAGACAACUCUAGUUUAAUUUUUAACAUAUUUUAGAAAAUACGUCAACAACUCUUGAUCGUUGUUCUUCGUCUCAUUGUUAUUCGUUCAGUAUUGAUAUAGGGUCUUCUUAUAUGAGUAUUGCAAUUAAUCAGUUUA